rfam:Schistosoma haematobium scaffold1425_4, whole genome shotgun sequence.
AUCUAGUUGACGAGUCCCAAAUAGGAUGAAACGCACAUCCUGGAU